rnacentral:lncRNA from 1 species
CGGAGUUAAAUCGAGGUAAUAAAGUGGAGAACGGCGCGGUUUAAUACCCGAGAGGAGCUCCAGGAUUUAACCUAACCCAGCUGUCUGACUGACUGUCUGGGUUAGCUUCAGCUGACAGCGGUAUGCGGUGAGAAGGGCAGCCGGGGAGAGACGCCUGGAGGUCGGGCUCAGUAAGCGAGCCGCCCGGUGCCUUGGCCUGGAAGUGGAGCGGUUUAGCUUUUAUAGCUAACAACCUGGGAAUGCACCGGUCUGAGGCAUGAAUUUGUAGAUAUGAUCUCAACGCUUGACCAUGGUUUUAUUGGACUCAAGCCAAGGACACAGUAGCAGAAGGAGCAAAGAUGGUUAUGCUGCAGAGGAUCUGAAGCUGGCCUUGCUCCACCCCUAAAGCCAGUAUGAGUGAGGUCCAGGCCACUGUGGAGUUCUCCGUAGAGCUCCACAAGUUCUACAAUGUGGAUCUCUUCCAGCGAGGGUAAGUGUGCAGAGAUCUUAGCUUUACCCCAGCUGCUGUCAGAGCUCUCAGCAUUGUAGAUAAACACUCUGUACAAUUUCUGCAAAUAGACACACAACAUCCAACCUUUAGGUGUAUGGGCUCCGCUUCUUUCAGCCAAGAACAG